AUUGAACGCUGGCGGCAGGCCUAACACAUGCAAGUCGAACGGUAACAGGAAGAAGCUUGCUUCUUUGCUGACGAGUGGCGGACGGGUGAGUAAUGUCUGGGAAACUGCCUGAUGGAGGGGGAUAACUACUGGAAACGGUAGCUAAUACCGCAUAACGUCGCAAGACCAAAAAGGGGGACCUUCGGGCCUCUUGCCAUCGGAUGUGCCCAGAUGGGAUUAGCUAGUAGGUGGGGUAACGGCUCACCUAGGCGACGAUCCCUAGCUGGUCUGAGAGGAUGACCAGCCACACUGGAACUGAGACACGGUCCAGACUCCUACGGGAGGCAGCAGUGGGGAAUAUUGCACAAUGGGCGCAAGCCUGAUGCAGCCAUGCCGCGUGUAUGAAGAGGGCCUUCGGGUUGUAAAGUACUUUCAGCGGGGAGGAAGGGAGUAAAGUUAAUACCUUUGCUCAUUGACGUUACCCGCAGAAGAAGCACCGGCUAACUCCGUG
rnacentral:rRNA from 1 species